CAGAUUCGAGACUUAGAACGUGGAUGCC
rnacentral:piRNA from 1 species